CUGUAGGGCUAGCCAGCUCUCAUUAUUCCAUUCCUCUUUCCUCCUCUUCCAGGCAUGCCUUCCCAAGUUUUGAUGCUCUUCCAAGAACAAUAGAAAAUGAACAAAUCCCACAUGAAAAUGUGCUGGUCAGGGGUCUGUGUCAUCCAAGGACGUGACUGUGGACUUCACCCAGGAUGAGUGGCUAUAACUGACCAGUAUGCAGAGGACUCUGUACCGGGACAUGAUGCUGGAGAACUACAGCCACUUGAUCUCAGAGUCCUGAUGUCCAAGUGGCUUGUCAGAAGUCUCACCCCAUAUCUCACUCAGAGAGUAUCAAGUCACCAAACCAGAGGUGAUCAUCAAGUUGGAGCAAGGAGAAGAGCCGUUGCCAUUAGAGAGAGAAUUCCCAGACCUGAGUGAUCCAGGUGAGUUAGUCAUUACCAGGCAAAAAAAAGAAGCCAGUGGAAAUCAGAUCCCAGAUGUGUUGGUUCUGAGGUUAGGACCUUUGGUUUGUUUCUCAAUAAUUCCAUUUAGGGCCCUCAGACCUUUGGAAGUAACUGAACAGCGAGCCAGCAUGCCCCAGAUAACCUGAAUGGCCCUUCUGUUCAUCAUUCUUGAAUACAAAUGGUUUCCUUUUCUGCCUAACUUUUAGGAAAGUUGAC